GAGCUGCCGGGGCCGGUCCUGAGGGAAGGGAAGGCGGAGACUGGGUCGGUCCCCACUGCGAGACGCCCCGGAGCGGGCAGCAGCGCAGGCACGAGUACGGAUGCAUCCUCCCUUACUGCGAUGAGGAUGGUGGACCCCUGCACCAGCUGAAAAUGGCCAUGGCCUCCAUCCUGGGCACCUGGCUGCAGCUUUACCCUGAGGACUUCCUGCAGUCCCCGUAACGUCCC